GACGAACGCUGGCGGCGUGCUUAACACAUGCAAGUCGAACGGAAAGGCCCUGCUUUUGUGGGGUGCUCGAGUGGCGAACGGGUGAGUAACACGUGAGUAACCUGCCCUUGACUUUGGGAUAACUUCAGGAAACUGGGGCUAAUACCGGAUAGGAGCUCCUGCUGCAUGGUGGGGGUUGGAAAGUUUCGGCGGUUGGGGAUGGACUCGCGGCUUAUCAGCUUGUUGGUGGGGUAGUGGCUUACCAAGGCUUUGACGGGUAGCCGGCCUGAGAGGGUGACCGGCCACAUUGGGACUGAGAGACGGCCCAGACUCCUACGGGAGGCAGCAGUGGGGAAUAUUGCACAAUGGGCGGAAGCCUGAUGCAGCAACGCCGCGUGCGGGAUGACGGCCUUUGGGUUGUAAACCGCUUUCGCCUGUGACGAAGCGUGAGUGACGGUAAUGGGUAAAGAAGCACCGGCUAACUACGUG
rnacentral:rRNA from 1 species